CUACGGAGGGUCCAAGCGUUAUCCGGAAUCAUUGGGUUUAAAGGGUCCGCAGGCGGUCAAUUAAGUCAGAGGUGAAAGCCCAUCGCUCAACGAUGGAACUGCCUUUGAUACUGGUUGACUUGAGUUAUACGGAAGUAGAUAGAAUAAGUAGUGUAGCGGUGAAGUGCAUAGAUAUUACUUAGAAUACCGAUUGCGAAGGCAGUCUACUACGUAUAUACUGACGCUGAGGGACGAAAGCGUGGGGAGCGAACAGGAUUAGAAACCCCAGUAGUCC
rnacentral:rRNA from 1 species